rnacentral:tRNA from 1 species
AAGCCCAUGGCUCAAUGGUUAGGGCGUUGGACUGUGGAUCAACAGGUCGCGGGUUCGAGCCUCNCACGGCUUG